CAUGCAGUCGACGAUGAUGCCCAGCUUGCUGGGUGGAUUAGUGGCGAACGGGUGAGUAACACGUGAGUAACCUGCCCCUGACUCUGGGAUAAGCGUUGGAAACGACGUCUAAUACUGGAUAUGAUCACUGGCCGCAUGGUCUGGUGGUGGAAAGAUUUUUUGGUUGGGGAUGGACUCGCGGCCUAUCAGCUUGUUGGUGAGGUAAUGGCUCACCAAGGCGACGACGGGUAGCCGGCCUGAGAGGGUGACCGGCCACACUGGGACUGAGACACGGCCCAGACUCCUACGGGAGGCAGCAGUGGGGAAUAUUGCACAAUGGGCGAAAGCCUGAUGCAGCAACGCCGCGUGAGGGAUGACGGCCUUCGGGUUGUAAACCUCUUUUAGUAGGGAAGAAGCGAAAGUGACGGUACCUGCAGAAAAAGCACCGGCUAACUACGUGCCAGCAGCCGCGGUAAUACGUAGGGUGCAAGCGUUGUCCGGAAUUAUUGGGCGUAAAGAGCUCGUAGGCGGUUUGUCGCGUCUGCUGUGAAAUCCCGAGGCUCAACCUCGGGCUUGCAGUGGGUACGGGCAGACUAGAGUGCGGUAGGGGAGAUUGGAAUUCCUGGUGUAGCGGUGGAAUGCGCAGAUAUCAGGAGGAACACCGAUGGCGAAGGCAGAUCUCUGGGCCGUAACUGACGCUGAGGAGCGAAAGCAUGGGGAGCGAACAGGAUUAGAUACCCUGGUAGUCCAUGCCGUAAACGUUGGGCGCUAGAUGUAGGGACCUUUCCACGGUUUCUGUGUCGUAGCUAACGCAUUAAGCGCCCCGCCUGGGGAGUACGGCCGCAAGGCUAAAACUCAAAGGAAUUGACGGGGGCCCGCACAAGCGGCGGAGCAUGCGGAUUAAUUCGAUGCAACGCGAAGAACCUUACCAAGGCUUGACAUACACCGGAAACGGCCAGAGAUGGUCGCCCCCUUGUGGUCGGUGUACAGGUGGUGCAUGGUUGUCGUCAGCUCGUGUCGUGAGAUGUUGGGUUAAGUCCCGCAACGAGCGCAACCCUCGUUCUAUGUUGCCAGCGGGUUAUGCCGGGGACUCAUAGGAGACUGCCGGGGUCAACUCGGAGGAAGGUGGGGAUGACGUCAAAUCAUCAUGCCCCUUAUGUCUUGGGCUUCACGCAUGCUACAAUGGCCGGUACAAAGGGCUGCGAUACCGUAAGGUGGAGCGAAUCCCAAAAAGCCGGUCUCAGUUCGGAUUGAGGUCUGCAACUCGACCUCAUGAAGUCGGAGUCGCUAGUAAUCGCAGAUCAGCAACGCUGCGGUGAAUACGUUCCCGGGCCUUGUACACACCGCCCGUCAAGUCAUGAAAGUCGGUAACACCCGAAGCCGGUGGCCUAACCCUUGUGGAAGG
rnacentral:rRNA from 1 species